rnacentral:sRNA from 1 species
GGCUUCUAUUAGUUCUGUUCUAUCCUUGC